UACAGAGGGUGCUAGCGUUGUUCGGAAUCAUUGGGCGUAAAGGGCGUGUAGGCGGUUUGUUAAGUCAUGUGUGAAAUCCUCCGGCUCAACCGGAGAACUGCCUCGGAUACUGGGCGUCUCGAGUGUGGUAGGGGUAUGCGGAACUAUCGGUGGAGCGGUGAAAUGCGUUGAUAUCGAUAGGAACUCCGGUGGCGAAGGCGGCAUACUGGACCACCACUGACGCUGAUGCGCGAAAGCCAGGGGAGCAAACGGG
rnacentral:rRNA from 1 species